ACAUGUGUAAAUGAUGUAAAUGAUUAGGUGGCAUAUACUUUUGAUGAAGGAUAUGUCAUGUAUUUGGAAAAAGAAUGUAGAUAUAUGGAAAGCUUAUAUUUGGUUAAAUUUAAUCAAGUUACAUGGGUGGAUGUAAUAGUAGUACUCUCACUUGCUUGGUUGUUGCUUGCCAUCGUGCAAGCCAUGUAUACUCGAAUUCUAUCUAUGUGAAUUGCUAUACAUGUUGUAUUGAGCCUUGGGCGGACAAGGGAGGUUCUGUCCGUUCGGCGUCUGUAG
rnacentral:lncRNA from 1 species